rnacentral:rRNA from 1 species
CAGGGGGCCCGCAAGGGUCACCGGCGAACGGGUGCGUAACACGUGAGCGACCUGCCUUCGAGUGGGGGAUAGCCGGCCCAACGGCCGGGUAAUACCGCAUACGACGUCUGCCCCGCAUGAGGCGGACGUGAAACCACUUGGGCUCGGAGAGGGGCUCGCGGCCUAUCAGCUAGUUGGCGGGGUAACGGCCCACCAAGGCGAUGACGGGUAGCUGGUCUGAGAGGAUGGCCAGCCACAUUGGGACUGAGAGACGGCCCAGACUCCUACGGGAGGCAGCAGUGGGGAAUCUUGCGCAAUGGCCGAAAGGCUGACGCAGCGACGCCGCGUGAGGGAUGACGGCCUUCGGGUUGUAAACCUCUGUUGCCCGGGACGAACACCCAUUUCGAUGGGGAUGACGGUACCGGGUGAGGAAGCACCGGCUAACUCUGUGCCAGCAGCCGCGGUAAUACAGAGGGUGCGAGCGUUG